rnacentral:misc_RNA from 1 species
GAUGAAGAACGUAGCGAAAUGCGAUAACUAAUGUGAAUUGCAGAAUUCCGUGAAUCAUCGAGUCUUUGAACGCACAUUGCGCCCCCUGGUAUUCCGGGGAGCAUGCCUGUCCGAGCGUCAUUGCUGCCCAUCAAGCACGGCUUGUGUGUUGGGUCCUCGUCCCCCCCGGGGGACGUGCCCGAAAGGCAGCGGCGGCACCGCGUCCGGUCCUCGAGCGUAUGGGGCUUUGUCACCCGCUCUGCAGGCCCGGCCGGCGCUGGCCGACGCGAAAGCAACCAUUUUUUCUCCAGGUUGACCUCGGAUCAGGUAGGGAUACCCGCUGAACUUAAGCAUAUCAAUAAGCGGAGGA